UACAGAGGGUGCAAGCGUUAAUCGGAAUUACUGGGCGUAAAGCGUGCGCAGUCGGUUAUUUAAGUCGGGCGUGAAAGCCCCGGGCUCAACCUGGGAAUGGCAUUGGAAACUGGCGACCUAGAGUGCGGUAGAGGGUAGUGGAAUUCCCGGUGUAGCAGUGAAAUGCGUAGAGAUCGGGAGGAACAUCUGUGGCGAAGGCGACUACCUGGACCAGCACUGACACUGAGGCACGAAAGCGUGGGGAGCAAACAGG
rnacentral:rRNA from 1 species